rnacentral:rRNA from 1 species
GAUGAACGCUAGCUACAGGCUUAACACAUGCAAGUCGAGGGGUAACGAGAGGAAAGCUUGCUUUCCUUGUCGACGACCGGCGCACGGGUGAGUAACGCGUAUCCAACCUGCCCCCAACUAGGGAAUAACCUUGCGAAAGUAAGACUAAUACCCUAUAAUUUCCUCAGAUGACAUCUGACGAGGAAUAAAGAUUUAUCGGUUGUGGAUGGGGAUGCGUCUGAUUAGCUUGUUGGCGGGGUAACGGCCCACCAAGGCAACGAUCAGUAGGGGUUUGGGGAGGAAGGUCCCCCACAUUGGAACUGAGACACGGUCAAACUCCUACGGGAGGCAGAAGUGAGGAUGAUUGGUCAAUGGGCGGAAGCCUGAACCAGCCAAGUAGCGUGCAGGAUGACGGCCCUAUGGGUUGUAAACUGCUUUUAUACGGGAAUAAAGUUAGCCACGUGUGGUUAUUUGUAGGUACUGUAUGAAUAAGGACCGGCUAAUUCCGUGCCAGCAGCCGCCGUAA